UCAAUGUAACAGUGACAGGUUUAGGUUACUGUCAUUCAUAUUCACCCAGUUCAAUGUAACAGUAAUAGGUUUAGGUUACUGUCAUUCAUAUUCCAUUCACCCAGUUCAAUGUAACAGUGAUAGGUUUAGGAUACUGUCAUUCAUAUUCCAUUCAGGCAGUUCAAUGUAACAGUGACAGGUUUAGGUUACUGUCAUUCAUAUUCACCCAGUUCAAUGUAACAGUAAUAGGUUUAGGUUACUGUCAUUCAUAUUCCAUUCACCCAGUUCAAUGUAACAGUGAUAGGUUUAGGUUACUGUCAUUCAUAUUCCAUCCACCCAGUUCAAUGUAACAGUAAUAGGUUUAGGUUACUGUCAUUCAUAUUCUCCCAGCUCAAUGUAACAGUGAUAGGUUUAGGUUACUGUCAUUCAUAUUCCAUCCAGGCAGUUCAAUGUAACAGUGAUAGGUUUAGGUUACUGUCAUUCAUAUUCCAUUCAGGCAGUUCAAUGUAACAGUGAUAGGUUUAGGUUACUGUCAUUCAUAUUCCAUUCAGGCAGUUCAAUGUAACAGUAAUAGGUUUAGGUUACUGUCAUUCAUAUUCCAUUCAGGCAGUUCAAUGUAACAGUAAUAGGUUUAGGUUACUGUCAUUCAUAUUCCAUUCAGGCAGUUCAAUGUAACAGUAAUAGGUUUAGGUUACUGUCAUUCAUAUUCCAUUCAGGCAGUUCAAUGUAACAGUAAUAGGUUUAGGUUACUGUCAUUCAUAUUCCAUUCAGGCAGUUCAAUGUAACAGUAAUAGGUUUAGGUUACUGUCAUUCAUAUUCCAUUCAGGCAGUUCAAUGUAACAGUAAUAGGUUUAGGUUACUGUCAUUCAUAUUCCAUUCAGGCAGUUCAAUGUAACAGUAAUAGGUUUAGGUUACUGUCAUUCAUAUUCCAUUCAGGCAGUUCAAUGUAACAGUAAUAGGUUUAGGUUACUGUCAUUCAUAUUCCAUUCAGGCAGUUCAAUGUAACAGUAAUAGGUUUAGGUUACUGUCAUUCAUAUUCCAUUCAGGCAGUUCAAUGUAACAGUGAUAGGUUUAGGUUACUGUCAUUCAUAUUCCAUUCACCCAGUUCAAUGUAACAGUGAUAGGUUUAGGUUACUGUCAUUCAUAUUCCAUUCACCCAGUUCAAUGUAACAGUGAUAGGUUUAGGUUACUGUCAUUCAUAUUCACCCAGUUCAAUGUAACAGUGAUAAGUUUAGGUUACUGUCAUUCAUAUUCACCCAGUUCAAUGUAACAGUGAUAGGUUUAGGUUACUGUCAUUCAUAUUCUCCCAGUUCAAUGUAACAGUGAUAGGUUUAGGUUACUGUCAUUCAUAUUCCAUUCAGGCAGUUCAAUGUAACAGUAAUAGGUUUAGGUUACUGUCAUUCAUAUUCCAUUCAGGCAGUUCAAUGUAACAGUAAUAGGUUUAGGUUACUGUCAUUCAUAUUCCAUUCAGGCAGUUCAAUGUAACAGUGAUAGGUUUAGGUUACUGUCAUUCAUAUUCCAUUCACCCAGUUCAAUGUAACAGUGAUAGGUUUAGGUUACUGUCAUUCAUAUUCCAUUCACCCAGUUCAAUGUAACAGUGAUAGGUUUAGGUUACUGUCAUUCAUAUUCCAUUCACCCAGUUCAAUGUAACAGUGAUAGGUUUAGGUUACUGUCAUUCAUAUUCACCCAGUUCAAUGUAACAGUGAUAGGUUUAGGUUACUGUCAUUCAUAUUCACCCAGUUCAAUGUAACAGUGAUAGGUUUAGGUUA